rnacentral:rRNA from 1 species
UAGUUGGUAGGGUAAUGGCCUACCAAGGCGACGAUGGUUAGCUGGUCUGAGAGGAUGAUCAGCCACACUGGAACUGAGACACGGUCCAGACUCCUACGGGAGGCAGCAGUGAGGAAUAUUGCGCAAUGGGGGCAACCCUGACGCAGCAACGCCGCGUGAGUGAGGAAGGUUUUCGGACCGUAAAGCUCUGUCGAGCGGGAAGAAAUGCAUGGUGGCUAAUAUCCAUCAUGCUUGACGGUACCGCUAAAGGAAGCACCGGCUAACUCCGUGCCAGCAGCCGCGGUAAUACGGGGGGUGCGAGCGUUGUUCGGAAUUAUUGGGCGUAAAGAGCGUGUAGGCGGCCGAAUAAGUCAGAUGUGAAAUCCCUGGGCUUAACCCAGGACGUGCAUUUGAAACUAUUCGGCUGGAGUAGGGGAGAGGAAAGUGGAAUUCCUGGUGUAGAGGUGAAAUCCGUAGAUAUCAGGAGGAACACCGGUGGCGAAGGCGACUUUCUGGCCCUAUACUGACGCUGAGACGCGAGAGCGUGGGUAGCAAACAGGAUUAGAUACCCUGGUAGUCCACGCUGUAAACGAUGUUCACUAGGUGUUGGGGGUAUUGACCCUCUCA